ensembl:lncRNA
AUGUGUACUUGGAAUAGUGUUACAGAGUCUGCGAAAAAAGGGGUGGGAAAGAGAGAGAGAGAGUGCGUGAAAGAGAGCAAAGGAGAGAGAGUGCAAGGCGAUCGUGGGGAACUUUUGACAGUUUUGUGUGUUUGUUCCAGAGUUGCGAGAGAGCAGCAGAUGGCUUCACUCUGUGUGAUCCUGAUCAUCUCGGAGCAGGUUUUCGUGUGCCUGCGGUGGUUGCUGGUGUGUUCUCAAAGCAGCCAGGAGCUAAAUGAGCAGCGCAGCAGCACCUGAGGCCUGGGGGCUGCGAGUCUGGAGUCUGCUGCUUCCUUCCUGCCAGUAGGACAGGAAUGAGCUCAUCACUGCUCUCCCCUGCUGUUAGCAGCCUGGAGAGCCCAUCCACUCAGUCAGAGAGUCAGGAGGCUCUGCCAUAUUGCACGCACACACAUGAAUUGCUUUCCACCAUGCUUCAUACAUUGUCAGACACCUUCCCUGAAAUGAGAGGAUACCUCGGCAUUGUCGUGAUUCCUGAGAGUGUGCGCUCUUUCCCAGCGGUCGCUUCCUUGUGAUCAGUAGCUAGAAUAGCUCAGGUUCAACAAUAAUAGUUAACUAGGGCACACUGUUCAUUAACCAGCUGGUCAGGACCAAAUUAAUGAGUAAUUCUUAAGUGAAAGAGAUCAGAUCAGAACACAGCUAAAACAAUGGAUACACUGAUAAAAAGAGGCAUAGGAUUUCCUUUGAAACAAUUUUCACUCAGAAAUUGCUAGUAAAUUUUACAAAUAAUUACAAUUAAAUUGCAAGUAACAUACUUAAACAGGAAAUUUUGAAGUACAAAGACAAAAAUAGUAUUUUCUUGUCAAAUAUACUUCAAUAGUAAUUUUUUAUUUACAAUUUUGAAAAAAAAAAUCAUAAACUUGAUUAUACAUUUAUUUUGUCUUAAAAUAUAGCGCAGGAAUUCUUAUUAACUACUGUAUAUAAAUUGGCAGAAUUAAAUAUAUAUUUUAAAAUAUUUAAGAUCAUGGAAAUUUUGCAGCAAAGUAAAAUAAAAUAAAAUAAAGUCAAAUAAUUAAAAUUAUU